UGCAGUCGNNCGAGAAGCUUAGGGCUUGCCCUAAGUGGAGAGUGGCGCACGGGUGAGUAACACGUAGGCAACCUGCCCCUGAGAGUGGGAUAACCAUUGGAAACGAUGGCUAAUACCGCAUAUUGUCCUUAUACCGCAUGGUAUUUGGAUGAAACACUCCGGUGCUCAGGGAUGGGCCUGCGGCGGAUUAGCUUGUUGGUAGGGUAACGGCCUACCAAGGCUACGAUCUGUAGCUGGUCUGAGAGGAUGAUCAGCCACACUGGCACUGAGACACGGGCCAGACUCCUACGGGAGGCAGCAGUAAGGAAUAUUGCGCAAUGGGCGAAAGCCUGACGCAGCCACGCCGCGUGGAGGAAGACACCCCUAUGGGGCGUAAACUCCUUUUAUAUGAGAAGAAAGUCCCGGUCGCCGGGGCCUGACGGUAUCAUAUGAAUAAGCACCGGCUAACUCCGUGCCAGCAGCCGCGGUAAUACGGAGGGUGCAAGCGUUGUCCGGAUUUACUGGGUGUAAAGGGUGUGUAGGUGGAAUUGCAAGUCAGUGGUGAAAUCCUGCGGCUUAACCGUAGAACUGCCAUUGAUACUGCUUUUCUUGAGUGCUGGAGAGGUCACUAGAAUUCGUGGUGUAGCGGUGAAAUGCGUAGAUAUCACGAGGAAUACCAGANGCGUANGCGGGUGACUGGACAGAUACUGACACUGANGCACGAAAGCGUGGGGAGCAAACAGGAUUAGAUACCCUGGUAGUCCACGCCGUAAACGAUGGAUGCUCGAUGCUGCCCUGUAUGGGGCAGUGUCCAAGCUAACGCGUUAAGCAUCCCACCUGGGGAGUACGCUCGCAAGANUGAAACUCAAANNAAUNNANGGGGGCCCGC
rnacentral:rRNA from 1 species